UACAACAGCUGUGUGAUUACGACCAAGACCAGUAACUCACUGAAACUAAGCAGGGCUGAGCCUGGCCAGUACCUGGAUGGGAGACCACAUGUGAAAUCUAGGUUGCUGUUGGAA
rnacentral:rRNA from 1 species